UGAGGAAUAUUGGUCAAUGGGCGCAAGCCUGAACCAGCCAUCCCGCGUGCGGGAAGACGGCCCUAUGGGUUGUAAACCGCUUUUCCAGGGGGAGAAUUUUUCUGUCGUGACAGGAAUUGACGGUACCCUGGGAAUAAGCAUCGGCUAACUCCGUGCCAGCAGCCGCGGUAAUACGGAGGAUACGAGCGUUAUCCGGAUUUAUUGGGUUUAAAGGGUGCGUAGGCGGAUUGAUAAGUCAGUGGUGAAAACCUGCAGCUUAACUGUAGACUUGCCGUUGAUACUGUCAGUCUUGAGUGUGGUCAAGGUAGGCGGAAUGUGUAAUGUAGCGGUGAAAUGCUUAGAUAUUACACAGAACACCGAUUGCGAAGGCAGCUUACUGGGCCAUUACUGACGCUGAUGCACGAAAGCGUGGGGA
rnacentral:rRNA from 1 species